AUCCGUAAGGACCGGAUGGGGAAACCGGCGAACGGGUGCGUAACACGUGAGGAACCUGCCCCGAAGACCGGGAUAGCCCGAGGAAACUCGGAUUAAUACCGGAUACCCUCUUUGGACCACAUGGUCUGCUGAGGAAAUGGUCCGCCGCUUCGGGAUGGCCUCGCGGCCUAUCAGCUCGUUGGUGAGGUAACGGCUCACCAAGGCAAAGACGGGUAGCUGGUCUGAGAGGACGAUCAGCCACACUGGGACUGAGACACGGCCCAGACUCCUACGGGAGGCAGCAGCAGGGAAUAUUGCACAAUGGGCGAAAGCCUGAUGCAGCGACACCGCGUGCGGGAUGAAGGCCCUCGGGUUGUAAACCGCUUUCAGGAGGGACGAAACUGACGGUACCUCCAGAAGAAGGCCCGGCCAACUACGUGCCAGCAGCCGCGGUAAUACGUAGGGGCCAAACGUUGUCCGGAUUUAUUGGGCGUAAAGGGCUCGUAGGCGGUUCAAAAAGUCGAUCGUGAAAGCCCGGGGCUCAACCCCGGGACGCCGGUCGAAACUG
rnacentral:rRNA from 1 species